CCGAGCGGUAGAGAUCUUUCGGGAUCUUGAGAGCGGCGUACGGGUGCGGAACACGUGUGCAACCUGCCUUUAUCAGGGGGAUAGCCUUUCGAAAGGAAGAUUAAUACCCCAUAAUAUAUUUGUCGGCAUCGAUGGAUAUUGAAAACUCCGGUGGAUAGAGAUGGGCACGCGCAAGAUUAGAUAGUUGGUGAGGUAACGGCUCACCAAGUCUGCGAUCUUUAGGGGGCCUGAGAGGGUGAUCCCCCACACUGGUACUGAGACACGGACCAGACUCCUACGGGAGGCAGCAGUGAGGAAUAUUGGACAAUGGGUGCGAGCCUGAUCCAGCCAUCCCGCGUGAAGGACGACGGCCCUAUGGGUUGUAAACUUCUUUUGUAUAGGGAUAAACCUAGAUACGUGUAUCUAGCUGAAGGUACUAUACGAAUAAGCACCGGCUAACUCCGUGCCAGCAGCCGCGGUAAUACGGAGGGUGCAAGCGUUAUCCGGAUUUAUUGGGUUUAAAGGGUCCGUAGGCGGAUCUGUAAGUCAGUGGUGAAAUCUCACAGCUUAACUGUGAAACUGCCAUUGAUACUGCAGGUCUUGAGUGUUGUUGAAGUAGCUGGAAUAAGUAGUGUAGCGGUGAAAUGCAUAGAUAUUACUUAGAACACCAAUUGCGAAGGCAGGUUACUAAGCAACAACUGACGCUGAUGGAC
rnacentral:rRNA from 1 species